GGCCUGAAACAUUUAGCCGGCCACGGUUUCGUGUGUUAGUGCUUUGUGUUCUGGCCAUCCUUCCAAUCGCUAUUCACCUUUCUUCAUUGAUUGGUGAGUGGUAUUGGAUCUUUUACUUUGAAAAAAUUAGAGUGUUUCAAGCAGGCUUUAUGCUAUGAAUACAUUAGCAUGGAAUAAUAAUUUAGGACUUCGGUUCUAUUUUGUUGGUUUCUAGGACUGAAGUA
rnacentral:rRNA from 1 species